rnacentral:misc_RNA from 1 species
GAUGAAGAACGUAGUGAAAUGCGAUACGUAAUGUGAAUUGCAGAAUUCAGUGAAUCAUCGAAUCUUUGAACGCAUAUUGCGCUCUCUGGUAUUCCGGAGAGCAUGCUUGUUUGAGUAUCAGUAAACACCUCAACUUCCAUAUCUUUUUUGAAAUGGGAGUUGGACUUGAGUGAUCCCAACGCUUUUCCUCACCGAAAAGUGGCGGGUUACUUGAAAUGCAGGUGCAGCUGGACUUUUCUCUGAGCUAUAAGCAUAUCUAUCUAGUCUGCCUAAAAAACAGAUUAUUACCUUUGCUGCAGCUAACAUAAAGGAGAUUAGUUCUUGUGCUGACUGAUGCAGGAUUCACAAAGACGGCUUCGGCCGACUUUGUAAACUCGAUCUCAAAUCAAGUAAGACUACCCGCUGAACUUAAGCAUAUCAAUAAGCGGAGGA